AAGGAUCGGGAAACGAUUGACGAACGAAACAAACGAGAAGGCGAUGGAAGAUAGGAUCGUGGAAGAAUCAGUAAGAAAAAAAAGAAGAAAUGCGUAAUGGUGAAAAAAUUUGAAGAGUUUGUUGCAGUGAAAGGAAAGUAAAGAAACUAGAUGGAAGAAAGCAUGGCGAUGAAUGAAAUUAGGGUUUGUAAGAAGAAGAAGAAAAGAGCGGUUGGGAGGAAGAAGAAGAAGAUAUUAGAUAUGGGUAACCCGCAAUCGGUUUUUGUUAUAAUGCUCUCUCUCUUUCUUUUUAUUUUUAAUUUUCUUUCCAAGGAGAGGAUGCGGUAAUGGUGAGUUUAUUGCUGUUGUUGUUGGUUGUGUACGUGUGUGAGUGUUGUUGUGUGUGUGAGACUAUGCACCAUGCAAAUGUGGCUUCGUAAUAUCCAAAGGCAUGUAUAAUAUUUUAUUAUCAAAAAUGUUUUUUUUUAUAUCAUGAUUUUAAAACUUUUUAAAUUGUUUUUCUAUCAGUUAUAUCAAUGGCUAUAAAUAGUAAAUUAUAUUUGUUAUAUUGUAUUGCAAAUAAUUAUGGAGUAUUUUUUAUUAAUAAAAUAUAUUUAUUCACUUAAAUUGAAAAUAUAUAUAUAUUUAUAACAAUACAAAUCCAAUAUUUUAAAAGUUAAAAAUAAUAAAUUUACAAAUAGGCUCAUAAAAUUUAAGUUAAUACCAUUAAAUGUGAAGAUGUCAACAAAUUGACAAGAGAUUGGAAGAGAUUGGAUAAUGUCGCACCAAAAUGAAAGAACAACAAAAUGUCAUAUUUAGGUGAUAAAAGCACGAAAGAUGCAAAGAAUUUUUUUUUUUUUUUUUACGUAUAUAAAUGGGUGGUAAAUGAAAGAACAACAAAAUGUCAUAUUUAGGUGAUAAAAGCACGAAAGAUGCAAAGAAUUUUUUUUUUUUUUUUUACGUAUAUAAAUGGGUGGUAAAGUAAUUCUAAUGGAUGAUUUCACAAUUGAAAAAAUAAUUAACAACGCUCCUCUUUAAUACAUGAAGAAAAAAAUAGCAGUUAGAGAGAAUGUGGAACUUCUCUCAAAAUUUAAGGUUGACUUACAAAUAACUACUACGAUCAUAACUAUGGAUUUGAUAUUGAACAAUUGUAAAGGUAUUUUAAGCAUGUCUUCAAUGACAAUGUGUUCUCAUCGAAUGUCUUAGUCAAUUCUUGAUGCAUUUGUUGUAUUAAAUUUGAUCAAAAAGAAUGAUGAUAACAUUGUUAGUGGUAUUUUAGAACAUCAAAGCAAAAUCUUUAAACAAGCUUUAAAAAUAAUUUUUGAUGUGUCAAUUACAUACGUCGUGUUUAAAAUGUGAUGUGAUUAUUGUUACAAUUCUAAAAUCGGAUUAUAUUGUUGAGGUCAAUUGUUCCAUAACUUUCCUACAUGAAAGAUUGAUGUUGGAGAAAAAUGAUAUUUAUCUCAUCUUAGAUGACUUGCAUGACAAAUUAAACAAUGUUUGGAAGGUGUCAGGCAAAUAGUCUUUUAUAAAUAUUGGUAAGGGGUUAUUUAUUUUCACUUUUUUUAUCUAUUGAACAUUUACGUAUAGUUUUUAUUACGAGAGUGUGUAUCCUUACGUCGAAAAUACUUUGUUAUUUUCUUGGAUGUCGGAUUUCAACACAAGCAUAAUACAAAACACUAAUGUUCAAUGUUGAAUUAGGUCUCACAAUUUUCCUUUUGAAUAUUGGAGGUCUACGACUCUAUUUACUAUUUUAUACGGGUAAACAUUCUUCUACCCUUAGAUAAAGCCAUCACUAGCAAAAAGCUCAAGUAUUUUGCUAUAAUGAUGAUGUAUUAACCUUUUGAACUCUUAAAUGACUCUCUUUCGGUAGAAAUUAGAGGUUAUGUUUUUAAUGUUGAUAUAGAAUACAAUACACUCGUAAUGUUUUACAUUUCUUAUCAGACAACUUAUCAUUCUUUGAAAGAUUAUAUAAGACAAAAGUGUGUAGAUGAAUAGUCGACUCGGGAAUAUAUUAGGGGGAAAACUCAUUACUAAACAUAUCCUUAAGAAAGUCAUUUUAUAGUCACCAAGUGAUACUUAACUAGAAUCACAUAGGUUGUGGGUUGAAGUCAUUCAUGGUCAAGAGGUCGUCGUCUUUUGGAUGUGACAUCUCUAUAGUAAAAUCAACCAAGAGUUUGGGAUUUUAUGGGCCCUAUUGGUUCUAAGUCGGUAUAAAAUUUAAAGAGUUCCAUUAACCAUGUAACAAUUUGCUUAGGUAUGAGCCAAAGCCCAACUAACUUUAGUUCAACCCAAUAUUGGACCUCUUAUGAACCAUAUUGACUAAAUGUCUAUGGACCUUCGUAUCUAAGCAUCAAAAGAUACUGAGGUCACUUUUCUCAUUUCGCUUAUCUAUAUAAUGUAUCCACAAUAAGGUCCUAAUACUGUGGAACCUAUGAUGGAUAUGUUAUAUAAGUGCACUUGAUUGGAGCAAAUAGAAUUAAUUUAUCCUCAAACUAUAAUUGGCAGGAUCCCCUGACAUGUGUCCUUUCUUAUAUUUGUCUAAAGUAUAAUGUUAUAGGUUCUUGAAAACCAUAUGACCUCACUAUAAAUAAUGACAAAUGGGUCACAUAAAGGUGCACAUUAUUGUAACAUUAAAUAUCUCUCGCUUCCUAUUGUCAUUGACUUGUCUGUCAGAGUGUUUGCAUGUAUCCCCAGGGUCGAAGCACAAAAAUACAAAACUUCAUGUUAGAGAAUACCAUUGCAUCUUAGUUCACCGCCACAUUUGUAAACCUUGUCGAUUUUCUCAAAAUCACUAUUUUCCCUAAAUAUUCGCCUUCGACGAAAUUUUCUGAAUGAGAAAGUAUUUACUCACAAUAACUAUUUAUGACUAGUCGUAAUGUCUAAAUCUUUGAGCUGAUAAUAUUAAGAAAAAGGUUAGUUACUCGUAUUUUUUGUAUAGUAUAUAUGUUAUUUGUACCAUUUUGCUCAUAAAAUACAAUGGUUAUUGUGUUUUUUCUAUUUCCUUUACACAAGCCAAAUUGGUUAAUAUUUUAUGGAUGUUAAGAAAAAAUUUAACUUAACACAAGUUGUUAGCAUAAUUAUUACUAAGGGUUAUGAAGGAACUUAUUCAAGUCAUCAAAGGCUUGUUCCCAUUGGGAAGUCCAUUUAAAGUGUUCUUGCUUUUAGAGGACUUAUAGAUUUGCAAUGAGUGAUUUGUUGAUUUGGAAAGGAAUCAUGAUAUAAAUAUUAUUUGUUUCGCUAGUUGUCACACUUCUUUGAUGGAUUUCAGACACUAUGUCAAUAGUAUUGCCCUGCAUUUCUUAGUAUUAAAUUUUAUCUACCUUUAGGCGAUCAUGAAUCCUAAUAAAUUGCUUACUUAAACCCAUAAAAUGCACUUUAUAUGUUCAACCUCAUUUUAUACUUUAGAAUGUGUCCAAGUAUGAUUCGCAAGUCCUUAAAGUAAGGCUCAGUACUUAUGGUCCUGAUCAUCGUGUCAUCCAUGUACUUAUGCACACCUUGUUAUUAUUCUUUAUUUGCUUCCCAUAUAUUUUGUUCAUGAGUCUAUAGUAAAUGGCUCGUGCAUUGUUUAACCCAAGGACAACAUGGCAGUCAAAGUUCAGCAUAUCUAUCAUGAAAGUUGUUUUUAUGCAUUUGAUGCAUUCAUCAUGAUUUGGUUGUAGCCUUAAGAGAGAAAGUAGAGGAUCUGACAACUUGAUGUAUUAUCUACCAACAUAUCAUUAUAUAUAUAUAUAUAUAUAUAUAUAUUUGGCAAUAAUAUGGGCCUUUGGAGCAUGCAUUGUUCAGAUCUCUACGCAUUUUCCACUUAUCAUUUUUUAUAGUGUUAUAAUGUUGGCCAACCACGACAAAUAUGUGAUUUCUCAAAUGAAAUUCGCAUUUGCUAACUUUUGAGUUUCCUAUUUGGAUGUAUCUUGAUUCUCGCUUGCCAACAUUAUUUUAUUAUGAACCAUUGUUCAUACGAUAUGGUUGAUGGCUAGAUGGUGGGAUAUCACCUUUACACUAAUACAUGACAUGUCAGUUAUGCUUCAUGCAAAUAGGUUUGAGUUGUUCCUCAAUGUUUGGGGCAGAGUGACUUCCUCUUCAAACAAUAGCCAUGAGUCAAUCUUUGUGAUCUUGUCAUCGACUAUUAUCUUAACCAUUUUCACCUUCUUUUUAGGUUCAUGCUCGUCGUUGUUUUCUUCCUUGAGGUCUAGUUCUAUUAACUUUUCACUAAUCUUCGUAGUUUUUUUUUAUCAGAUAGCUUUUUCAUAUUGAUUGAAGUCACUUUAGUUUUAGUUAGGUUAUUGACGUGGAAAUGUUCAAUCACCUAUAGGUUUUUAUGCAUGGUGGAGAUUUUACCAUAAUUAAGAGAGAACUUCAUCGUAAGAUGUGUCAUUUAUAUGAUGGCUUCAAACAUAUUUAGUCUUUGUUGUUUAAUGGUAAAUUGUAUGAUGAAUUUACCUUCACCAUUAGCAAAGUUGGCUUGUAAUUGCUUUGAUCUGGCGUAUGUUGGAAAUGUCCUCUCGUCCAUAUGAAUCACUUGACUUAUGCAUCAUAUAUCGAUUAUCCCACUUAUAUGUCCUUUUUAGGGUUUGAAUAUUAUUGUAGGUAACUUCAACUGCUUGUACACUUAUCUGAAUAUGAUACCAGUCGAGCUUCCUUAAUUGACCAUACUUCUUUUGAUAUUGCAGUUUGUCAUGAUUAUUAAUGGCUCGUGAUCAUUAUAAAUACAUGAUAUGCUUUUAUAAUGUUUUUUUUUUAAUUUUAGUAUAUUUUGGUUAUGUUGAAGUAAUAAAUUAUAUAAAUUCACAUUGUGGAUUAUAUUAAAAUGGACUCAUUGUUUAUGCUUAAUUCUCUCUAGCUAGAUAAUUUUAUAGUUUUUUUUUAUUAUCAGUUAUUAGCUUGACAAGUUGUUCGGUCACUACAAGUAAUAUCAUGAAGUUAUGGAGAUGUGAAGUCAUAAAUUAUAAAUAAUAAAGUUUUAGGGUAGGUGGGAGAUCUUGUCUCACCCGUGAGAUGGAUGAUCUAUUUGCAUAACGCCUACAUAAAGUUAUUUUUACCAAAUCCUCAUUUCCUGGUCAACAAAGAGCCUAUAGUUUGGCAUGAGGUGGACAAUCAAGUUCUAAUUGGCCCAUGUAUAAAGUCAACUUUGCUCUGAAUAACAAAAUCAUACUUUGAAGACAAAUAACAUGAAAGAAUUAUGUUUUGAAUGCUAAUAGUGGUUAUUCUGGUCCUUGGAAGCAAGCGUGACAAUUUAUACUCAAUCUUUGUAAAUUUAUAACUUAUGCAACUCAUUGUUUAUGAUAGUUAUUGCUAUGAUCAUUGAUAUGAAACUCUUUUUUGUUAUUUGAAGUAUGGUUAUUUGGUUAUUCUUGUGUGCAAUGUUUUUCUUUAUUUGAUCACCAUUGAAUUUAUUUUAAGGAUUAAUUCGCUACUAGAUAUGUGUAUUAUAAUUUGACCUAUAAUUUAUGCUUUUAAUUAGUUUACUUUUAGACAUUUUAAUUUCAAUUGCAAACAAUUCCAUAUGAAAAAAAAACCCUUUAUUUCAUAAGUAUUUAUAUGAUCGAUGAGUAAUCCAAAUUAAUCAUAAUUUUCAUUAAUACAGCUUUAUUUAUUACUUGAUGACACUUUUGGUAUAUUUGUUAAACAAAUCAUCAAGUUUUUGACAUUGUUGUUGAUGGUUGUUGAUUGAUUUGAUCUUGUCUCUCUUUUGUUUAUGUUGCGGUAAUGCUUGGGUGUUUUCUUGAUUUUUAAGCAACAAGGAAACUCAAUUGGACUAUUAUACAAUCCUAAAAUUGAGAAGACUACCAAAGCCAAUUAAAAAAAUACUAAGAUUAGCAAGACAGUAAGCCGGAGAAGAAAGAAGAUCAAUCGUGUCAGAAACUCAUUUAGAUAAAUAAUAAAUACAUAGUGAGAUUGAGAAGAUUCUAUAUUUGUCGAGACGAUCAUUAGAUGGCAAUGGAAUGGGAAAUCAACAAAGAUUUAUCAUUAAUGAGUUUUAACCAAAACACAUAGUAGUGUUCUAUGACACGGGGGAUUUAACUCUCAUUUCCCUAAGAGAAUAUCAAUAUUUAGGAAAGUAAUAUGAAUAUCCAAAUGAGAAUUUUAAUCAAUUAUAUGAAAUUGUAAAACAACUAGUCUACUUAGAGUUUCAAAAGACGAAGAGAAUUUCAAAAAAUGGGAUUUCAUCAAAUUCAAAACAAAGUUGGUUUUAUGCUAACUCAAAUGUUCAACCAAAUAUAAACAUGAAGCAAACAAAAUUCAUAUGAUAAACAUAAAUUUAAAUUAAAAAAAUAAUAGACAAACAAGAUCAUUGGUAAACAUAGUAGUUUAGUUCUUUCUAAUGUCCUAAAAUUAAAAAAACUCUUGAUCAACUUUGAAAUAAAUUUGGUUUUAUGCCAACUCAAAUAUUCAAAAAAAAUAUAAACAUGAAAUAAACAAAACUCAUAAAAUAAACAUAAAUUUAAAUUGAAAAGUAGUGGACAAACAAAAGCAUUGGCAAAUACGAUGAUUUAGUUCUUUCUAAUUAUCAUAUAAUUCAAAAACUCAUGUGGAUUUUCAACGAUGAAUACUAUAACAUCUUCAACUUCUAGCUUGCUAUAUUUGGCGAAUUAAUUAAUACUAUUUGACCCUAUAUACAUACAUAUUUUUUAUAUCCCUAGUAGCGCGAAUGUCGUCAUAAUAUUCACAUUUUCCAUCUUUUUCGAUUUUGGUAAUGAUAUUUGUAAUAUGUGGAGUAAAACAAUCUUAUGCAAUGUUUUUUUUAACAUGCUACCGUAUAAAAAGUAAUAGAAAAAGCUUAAUGAUAAUAAAAAAAAAAUAGGUGAACUUUAAUAUUUAUAGCUAAUACAUGUCAAUACAUUGUUUUUUUUUUAAUUGAUUGUGUGACAUUUAGUACCUCUUAGUAUUUUCUGAAGGAAAAUAGCGAUCCAAAACGUAGCGAAAAUUAAAAUUCUCCUUUAGUGAUCCUUACGAAUGAGCAUGAUCAAUGAUAGAAAUCGUUACCUCUUGUGGCGAUUGAAACCUUCGAUGCAGAUUUAAGGAGUGAUCAUGAGCGUUGAAUGGUGACAACGCCUCUACUCAGUCCACACGAACGAAUUCCUUCAAUCUCAGUGCUAGCUGCUACGAAUGAAGGCUUUGAGAGAGAGAGAGAGAGAGAGAGAGAGAGAGAGAGAGAGAGAGAAAGAAAUAGAGAAAUGAAA
rnacentral:lncRNA from 1 species